rnacentral:lncRNA from 1 species
ACAUUUUUUGGACCUGGCAUCAUACCAAUAUUUAGCAGGCUGAUGGGGACAAAUACCAAUACACCCUAAUGUCUAUUGGUGUAAUGUGUGGGAGGAGUAGCCGACCAGGAGGAUGAAGAUAAUGAUUACAGUAUAUUAUGAAGGGGCUGAAAUCGGAGGACAUAACGUUUCAGAAUGUUCAGAUAGAAGUGCAACAUGUAGAACAGAUAUGAUUGACACGCACGACUCAGCCCGUACUCUACACAGACUGGUGAGGCAUAACCAAUCAGAGCUGCAGUAGGCCUAUAUGCAAAUAGACCAUUGCCAUAUAUGGAUUUGUGCCAUUUACUUUGAUCUGGACUGUGUUUACAGCUGUGGUCGUGAGUAGAUGUGCUUGUUUAGAGAUCACAGUGAGAGCUGCAUGUAGCCACAUGUGCACAUUUUGUUCAUAUCCUUUGCCAGUUAGUGAGUUAUUAGCCAAGUUAUAGAUCAUUUGUAGUCAGCAAUAGGGGAGGGAUUGCUUCCUACAAGAGCACAAAACGUUUACAUUUCUUUUCAUCUUUGAAAAGCAAGUCAAGUCGCUGAGGUACUGUUCCAGCAGGUCUUCCGGAACUAUGGCCUUCCGGAGGACAUCGUCUCUGACCGUGGUGCCCAAUUCACAUCACGGGUAUGGAAAGCCUUCAUGGAGAAGCUGGGGGUCACGGUCAGCCUCACUUCCGGGUACCGGCCUCAGUCUGACGGGCAGGUGGAGAGGAUGAACCAGGAGCUGGGGAGGUUCCUGAAGAGUCACUGCUAGGAGAGGCAGGGGGAGCGGGCACGAUUCCUUCCCUGGGCGGAGUACGCCCAGAAUUCAUUGCGUCACUCCUCCACCGGGCUGACUCCCUUCCAGUGUGUUCUGGGUUAUCAGCCAGCCAUGGCUAAAUAGACCCCGAGCCAGACCGAAGCUCCUGCGGUUGACGAGUGGUUCAGGCACGCAGAAAAUGUUUGGAACGAUGCCCAAGUGAGGCUCCAGCGCAUCGUCCGCCGCCAGAAGGAGCAGGUGGAUCGCCACCGUAGUGAGGCUCCCGUGUUCCAUCCUGGUGAUCGCGUCUGGCUCUCCACCAGGAACCUCCCACUCCGCCUGUCCUGUAUGAAGCUGAGCCCCCGGUUUAUGGGGCCGUUCAAGGUCCUCCAGAGGGUCAACAAGGUGACAUAUAGAUUACAGCUCCCCACCAACUACCGGAUCUUACCCUUUUUUCAUGUUUCCCUCCUCAGGCCGGUGGUUCCUGGACCCCUGGCUGAUGCCAUCCCCACGACACCCCUCCGGAGGCCUCCCCUGGACAUCGAGGGAAGCCCCGCCUAUGCCGUCAGAUCCCUCUUGGAUGUUGUGGGGGUCGGCUUUGUGGGGGUCGUCAAUCUUCAGCUGGAGCUGGGCGUCAAUGGGGGGGGUAUCGUCACGUCUACUCCCGCUUUGGCGCUUGAUGUCGCCGGUUUACUAACCACCGGUCCUGGUAACCGAUCAUUAUGCACACCUGUGCCCCAUCAUUAGUCUCACCUGGACUUCAUCACUACCCUGAUUACUUACCCUUUAUCUAGCCCACUGUAGCAUUACUCAUCAGGCAGUAUUGGUUUUGGUUACAUUCAGUACGCUUCUCCUGUUUUGUAUAUUAUUCAUGUUUAUUAUUAUUAAACUCACCUUCUGCACUUGUUUCCUGACUCCCUGCGUAUACAUUACAGUUAUGAUCAAAUAGCUACAGUAACCUACUUGGCUGUAACUUAAAGCAGAUACAGCCUCAGUGUUCACAGUAAACGUGCACUGGAAGUUACUGAAUAUUCAAUUUUGUGCUCAGCAGAGCUGAAAUUUGCUCAGUGCCGGAAAAAAUUUGAGGGAACAUUGGUGGCCACGCAUGACGCCAACUCCAUCAAGUUUGCUGACAACACAACAAUGGUAGGCCUGGUCACCAACGGCAAUGAGACAGCCUACAGGAAGAAGGUCAGAGAACUGGCAGUGUAGUUCCAGGACACCAGAGGGUUGGAGAGGGUCAAGAGCUGAAAGUUCCUCGGUAUCCACAUCACUGAGGACUUAACAUGGUCCUCUCACACCAGAACAGUCGUGAAGAAGGCACGGCAAUGCCUCUUUUCCCUCAGGAGGCUGAAACAAU